rnacentral:rRNA from 1 species
GUAGGUGGCAAGCGUUGUCCGGAAUUAUUGGGCGUAAAGCGCGCGCAGGUGGUUCUUUAAGUCUGAUGUGAAAGCCCCCGGCUCAACCGGGGAGGGUCAUUGGAAACUGGGGAACUUGAGUGCAGGAGAGGAAAGUGGAAUUCCACGUGUAGCGGUGAAAUGCGUAGAUAUGUGGAGGAACACCAGUGGCGAAGGCGACUUUCUGGCCUGUAACUGACACUGAGGCGCGAAAGCGUGGGGAGCAAACAGGGAUUGGGAUACCCUGGUAGUCCACGCCGUAAACGAUGAGUGCUAAGUGUUGGGGGGGUUUCCCGCCCCGUCAGUGCUGCAGCUAACGCAUUAAGCACUCCGCCUGGGGAGUACGGUCGCAAGACUG